GUCGAACGGUAGCACAGAGAGCUUUGCUCUCGGGUGACGAGUGGCGGACGGCGUGAGUAAUGUCUGGGAAACUGCCUGAUGGAGGGGGAUAACUACUGGAAACAGGUAGCUAAUACCGCAUAACGUCGCAAGACCAAAGAGGGGGACCUUCGGGCCUCUUGCCAUCAGAUGUGCCCAGAUGGGAUUAGCUAGUAGGUGGGGUAACGGCUCACCUAGGCGACGAUCCCUAGCUGGUCUGAGAGGAUGACCAGCCACACUGGAACUGAGACACGGUCCAGACUCCUACGGGAGGCAGCAGUGGGGAAUAUUGCACAAUGGGCGCAAGCCUGAUGCAGCCAUGCCGCGUGUAUGAAGAAGGCCUUCGGGUUGUAAAGUACUUUCAGCGGGGAGGAAGGGAGUAAGGUUAAUAACCUUAUUCAUUGACGUUACCCGCAGAAGAAGCACCGGCUAACUCCGUGCCAGCAGCCGCGGUAAUACGGAGGGUGCAAGCGUUAAUCGGAAUUACUGGGCGUAAAGCGCACGCAGGCGGUCUGUCAAGUCGGAUGUGAAAUCCCCGGGCUCAACCUGGGAACUGCAUUCGAAACUGGCAGGCUGGAGUCUUGUAGAGGGGGGUAGAAUUCCAGGUGUAGCGGUGAAUGCGUAGAGAUCUGGAGGAAUACCGGUGGCGAAGGCGGCCCCCUG
rnacentral:rRNA from 1 species